AUGGCGUCCUCCUCCUCCGCGACGUCCGGCGACGACCGGCCGCCGGCCGGCGGGGGCGGGGGCGGGGGCGGGACCCCCGCGCAGGCGCACGCCGAGUGGGCCGCCUCGAUGCACGCGUACUACGCCGCCGCCGCCUCCGCCGCCGGGCACCCCUACGCCGCGUGGCCGCUGCCGCCGCAGGCCCAGCAGCACGGCCUGGUGGCGGCCGGGCCGGGGGCGGCGUACGGCGCGCCGGUGCCGUUCCCCAUGUACCACCACCCCGCGGCGGCGUACUACGCGCACGCGCACGCGCACGCCUCCAUGGCCGCGGGGGUGCCUUACAUGGCCGGUGAGUCUGCGUCGGCGGCGGGGAAAGGGAAGAGGGUGGGGAAGACACGGCGUGCCCCUUCCGGCGAGAUCAAUUCCAGUUCCGGGAGCGGCGAUGCCGGGAGCCAGGGGUCAUCGGAGAAGGGAGAUACAGGUGCCAAUCAGAAGGGCUCAUCAUCAUCCGCGAAGAGGAGGAAGUCCGGCGCUGCAAAUACAGAAGGUGAGCCAUCUCAGGCUGCCACAGUGCAGAAUGCUGCAACCCAGCCGCCAUUGGAAGACAAGGAGAGGUCUGCAUCCAAACUGUUGGUUUUGGCACCUGGGAGGGCGGCACUCCCCAGUGCUGCACCAAACUUGAAUAUUGGGAUGGAUCCCUUGAGCGCUUCUCCAUCCUCCUUGGUACAGGGGGAAGUGAACGCCGCAGCUUCUUCCCAGAGUAACGCUUCACUGUCUCAGAUGGAUGAACGGGAACUGAAGAGGGAGAGAAGGAAACAAUCCAACAGAGAGUCUGCAAGGCGAUCAAGAUUACGCAAACAGCAAGAAUGCGAAGAGCUAGCCCAGAAGGUGAGUGAGCUGACCGCAGCGAACGGCACGCUCAAAUCAGAACUCGACCAGCUUAAGAAGGACUGCAAAACCAUGGAAACAGAGAAUAAACAGCUGAUGGGUAAAAUACUAAGUCACGAUGAUAAAAUGCAGCAGUCAGAGGGCCCUAGUGUUGUGACUACCCUAAGCAUCCAGGUCGAAGCGCCCGAGCCGCAUCAGGGAGGAGACGGCAAAGCUUCAUAA
rnacentral:rRNA from 1 species